GACAGAGGGUGCAAACGUUGUUCGGAAUUACUGGGCGUAAAGCGCGUGUAGGCGGCCGAGUAAGUCGGGUGUGAAAGCCCAGGGCUCAACCUUGGAAGUGCACUCGAAACUGCACGGCUGGAGUCUCGGAGAGGGAAGUGGAAUUCGUGGGUGAUAGAAGGUGAAAUUCGUAGAUAUCCAGAGGAACACC
rnacentral:rRNA from 1 species